CCCGAGCACGCUGGCACUGAUCUCCAUGAUCUCCACGUAGCCCAUCGGAGACACCUGAUGGAGGCGCAGGGCCGUUGAUGGAUUAUGGACUUGGACUUUCGAUCCGAAGAUUUGGCUCAUCGCGGGAAAGAGGCCGAAAGAAAAAAAGUAAGAAAAGCAGACCUGAAGGCGGCUGCUUUUCUUUUCAUCUGUGUGAUCUUCGAGGGGCGAAUACCUGCAAGCUUCCCCGGUCGCGGGCGCCGUCGGCGGACACGAGGAGGCCGUGCUCCUGCAGCGUCUUGAACCGCAGCGCCAGCCUGAA